CGACGGGGGAGCAAGCGUUGUUCGGAAUCACUGGGCGUAAAGGGCGUGUAGGCGGUCAAGUUAGUGGGACGUGAAAUGCCUCGGCUCACCCGAGGACCUGCGUCCCAAACUGCUUGGCUUGAGUAUGGGAGAGGAUGUGGGAAUUCCUGGUGUAGCGGUGAAAUGCGUAGAUAUCAGGAGGAACACCGGUGGCGAAGGCGCACAUCUGGCCCAAUACUGACGCUGAGGCGCGAAAGCUAGGGGGAGCAAACGGG
rnacentral:rRNA from 1 species